AUUUUUAUGGAGAGUUUGAUCCUGGCUCAGGAUGAACGCUGGCGGCGUGCCUAAUACAUGCAAGUCGAGCGAACGGACGAGAAGCUUGCUUCUCUGAUGUU
rnacentral:rRNA from 1 species